AAAACGACUCUCGGCAACGGAUAUCUCGGCUCUCGCAUCGAUGAAGAACGCAGCAAAAUGCGAUACUUGGUGUGAAUUGCAGAAUCCCGUGAAUCAUCGAGUUUUUGAACGCAAGUUGCGCCCGAAGCCUUCCGGCCAAGGGCACCUCUGCCUGGGUGUCACGC
rnacentral:rRNA from 1 species